CCUACGGGUGGCAGCAGUGGGGAAUAUUGCACAAUGGGGGAAACCCUGAUGCAGCGACGCCGCGUGCGUGAAGAAGUAAUUCGUUAUGUAAAGCUCUAUCAGCAGGGAAGAAAAUGACGGUACCUGAGUAAGAAGCACCGGCUAACUACGUGCCAGCAGCCGCGGUAAUACGGAGGGGGCAAGCGGUAUCCGGAUGUACUGGGUGGAAAGGGAGCGUAGACGGCAGUGCAAGUCUGGAGUGAAAGGCGGGGGCUCAACCCCCGGACUGCUCUGGAAACUGUACGGCUGGAGUGCAGGAGAGGUAAGUGGAAUUCCUAGUGUAGCGGUGAAAUGCGUAGAUAUUAGGAGGAACACCAGUGGCGAAGGCGGCUUACUGGACUGUAACUGACGUUGAGGCUCGAAAGCGUGGGGAGCAAACAGGAUUAGAUACCCGUGUAGUC
rnacentral:rRNA from 1 species